GGGAUGUAAGGAAUAUAUCAAAUUAACUUGGUUUGUAGGAGGCAAGGAAAUUUAUGCUCUUUAAAUUUCAAAGUCUUUUGUUCUAGUUCAUGGUUUCUGUAGUUGUUAAUUCACCUCCUUGCCAAAAGGGAAUUGUAGCUACAGAAGCAGUAGUCUCAGACUACUCACUGUUGCUCACACACACAGAGGAGAAAAGAAGGUGAGCACCAGACAUGCGUUCUGAGCAGGGGUCAAACAAGGGGACACACUGCCUUCUGGCUUUGUUACUCAGCUUAUGUUCCACUGCUCACCACUCUAAAGAGAUGGGUUGGUAGGAAAGGAAAGAUUGCUGUAUUCAGGAGGCCAGCAGCCUAGGGUGAAGGUGGACUCAUAUCCAAAAACCAACUCUGAAGAUUCUGCUUGACCACGAAAGCUUUAAAGGGAGAAUUGUUUUUUAAGGGGAGAGAACUCAGAGUUUUCAUGGUCUUCCACUACGUGUGACGUUCUUCUGAUUGGUUGGUGGGGAGGUCACAGGGCAGUGCUCCAACAAUCUGUGCUCAGCCUGAAGUGACCACCCUCCACCUGGGUGAGGGUCUUCAUCCUACAGAAGAAUUCAAAGCUAUGGUUAUAUUUAUUCCUUGAGAAGGAACCAGGACCCUGCCCCCAGGCUACACCAUUGUUUCUUGACUACUCCUCCCUUAUCUCUGCAUCCUCUGCCUUCCCUGAGUAGCAUCUGUUUGAAUCAACUGUUUUGUUUGUUUGUUUGUUUGUUUAUUUAUUUAUUUUUUUGUCUUUUUAGGCCUGCACUCAAGGCAUAUGGAAGUUCCCAGGCUAAGGUCAAAUCACAGCUACAGCUGCUGGCCUAUACCACAGCCAAAGCAAUGAGGGAUCUGAGCUGUGUCUGUAACCUACACCACAUCUCACAGCAAUGCCUGAUCUUUAACCCACUGAACAAGACCAGAGAUUGAACCCACAUCCCCAUGGAUAUUAGUCAGGUUUGUUACUGCUGAGCCACCACCAGAACUCCUGAAUCAACUGUUUGAACCUGCCCUUUGAAACUCAGGGAAGGUCAAGGAGGCUGAAUGGGGUGUAUUUCUUAUAAAUAACAAACAGUGGACACAAAGGCUUUGUAGAAAGGAGCCCCACAGGGCCCUGAUCAAUUUCAGUUUCUACUAUGGAUGAGCCUCCCUUUUGCAGUGUGUUUAGUGCCAUAUUUUUCACAUUUUUGUGAAUUUUCUUGGUGAUUUCAUUGUUUAAAAUGGCCACAAGUGCAGUGGUAAAGUCCUGUGUAGCAUUCCUACCUACAAGAAGAGUGUGAUGUGCCUUUUAGAGAGAGUGAGUGUGUUAGACAAGCGUUGUUCAGAUGUGAAUUACAGGGCUGUUGGCUGUGAGUUCAGUGUUAAUGGAGCAAAAAUACAUAUUAAAAAAGGCAUCAUUGGGCAGCACAAUUUGCUGCCCAGAACACACGGCAUGAGGAUUAAUUCAGGCUGUUUAUUUUAAGAAGCAGAAGACUUGGGAAGUCUUUCCUUUUACUUCUUCCUUAGCUGCAAAGGAUUUAGAUAAAGGGCUAUUCCUGGCAAAGAGUAAUCACCAGAGAAGCAUGCAAAGGAUAUGGCUGGGUGUGGUUGGGGGGAGCUUGGCAGGGCUUAGAGAUCAGAGACCACCGUGUGCCCCAUGUCUCUGCAGGCCCAGCAAACUUUUCUUUACCAGACAUCUUCUUCUCCAUCUCCAUGUGAGUUGCCUUCCUCCCUGUCAAGGUCCCAAACCAACACCCCAGCAUCCUCUUUCGUAUUUGGCUGAAGAUAGUACUUCAGGUGAAGGUUUCAGCCAUUUGAGGACUUACUUAGUUUUUCUGGGCCUUUCUCAUGUAUGCAUGUUAUUAAACUUUGACUUUCUCCUGUAAAUCUGCUUCAUGUCAGUCUAAUUCUUAGACUACCCAGAAGCACCUGGAAAGCGGGGGAAAACUUCCUCCUCCCUAACAGUGUCUUUCAACAGAAACAGACAUAAAACAAAGCUAUUUAUUGAUUAGUUGGUGAAUAUGUGACCAGGUACUCACAGAGACCUAAUCCAGAGUUUCCCCUGGAAACCGGGGUUGAGUGUUUGCUGAUUCACAGUUCAGUGUCUGUUCAGAACCUCAGUACAUCCAGUGACAGGAACUGCCUGUGCUUUUCAUGUGUCCAGAAUUUAUUAAAAUGGAAUAUUCAUAAUCCGUUAAAAUAUUUUUCAGUUCUAUGUUUUAUUUUGCCACAAUAUAUGUACUUUUUGACUGGGGGACAUGGUAAUUCAUAAGACAUUCUUCAUAAGUUUCUAUAUUAAAGCAAAGAAAAUCUAUUUUAUUAUCUGUCUGCAAAACCCCAGACUGAUUAUUUGGAAGAAAGUUCAGAGUAAUUUAUUCAGUUGUUAUGGAUCUUUCAGAUAAUGAACCUUUGAAAUGGCUUGUGUGGAAAUGAUUUUUAAACAAUACAUGUUUAUGUGUUUAAGUGGUUUUAUGCCAUAAAUAGUAGAAUAUUGACACCUGUGUUUUCUUCAUCUGAGUGUGCAUCUUUAGUGCAUGUCUAUUUCUAAAAUUCAAUCAAUAUUACAAAAAAUUUCUUAACAUUUUCUCAGCCUUCUGUUUCAUGGAUUCACUUAUAUUUUCCUAUAAGCAUUUCUGAUAUAACAUCACUGUUUGUAUUUUAAGAGGAAACCUGGUAGACAAGCAAAAAUAAAAAAUAAUAAAGUAAAUAAGAGUAAUGAGCUUCAUAAUAGCUUUUGUAGGAACUGAGGGACAGAAGUGUUUGAGACCAGCCUUCUGUCCAACUCUGUUGCCACCCAGAGAGAAAUCACAGAACAAAGUAAUGAAAAUUAUCUGUUUGAGUCAGAGGACUCAGCACGUGACAACAUUCCCAAUAUUUAAUGUAGGUCCUUCUAGUUUGACAGGCUGUUAACAGACUGACUACUCCUCCGUUUCACAAGCAUUUAAUAAACCAAAUGAGGCUAAGUGGACAAAAGGAAGGAUAAAAUAAGUUUUCUGUGAUCAAAAGUUGGAAAUGAUCUAAAGGAGGAAUAAUCAGACGGAGACUAUGGACUCCUUAGGUACUGUGAGCCAGGCCCACCAGGCUGAACACCUCCAAAUUCUUGACCUCAGGGAGCCUUUGAGAUGAAAAUGAGUGCAUUUAUUUGAGAUUUUCAAAUAAAAGCAGCACUGUUUCCCCUCAUUUAGGAGGUCUGGAGGUAGAGGAAGGAGGUGCAAUGUAGGAAUGGAUUUUCUUUAUGUCACAUUCUGCACAUAUCUGGGCUUCUUCACUAAUAAUUUCCUGUAGCUUUGUUGGAAGAAGAAAACCAACAAAGACAAACCAGGACUUAGAGAGUAACUUAGAGAACAAUCUGUGGAGUGCCUGGGUCUCAGCACUUAUCACAAGGGGAAAUACUGGGACCAAAUUUCAGGUGAGGAUCCAGAAUCUUCCUGAAAUAUAUGUUCUCUUGUAGUUGAAUGCGAGGGAAGAAGACCAGUCUGAAAUAUACCUCUCUGGUAGUUUAAGCUGGUUAUUUUUAAAAACAGACGCAGAUGAAGAUCUGAGAACCGAGUAGGAGCUACCCUUUUAUAAGCGACAUUUACGUUUAUGAGGGAGAUCUCCAUUGAAGGGUGUCUCCCUCCUGCUCUGGAUGAGAAGGAUGGCUAAAUCUCUAGAAACUUGCCAGUGCAGAAGGCAAGGACUUAAAUCUGCAUAAUAGAGCCUCCCCUCAUUUCCUGAGCUUUUCCUGGUCACCCUCCAUACCUGGCCUCCCUCCUCCCACCAUCUUUAAUCCUUACCUGGAGGUGAUAUUUAGGGUGAUGACUAGAGCCAUAUCUGGGAGUUGCUCAGAUCUCUUGGGCCUCCCCUGUGCAUGCAGAAGUUGUCCAUGUUAUUAAAGUUCUUUUAGUUUGUCUUCCAGUAAUCUUUUUAUUACAGGGCUGUCUCAGCCCAGAAUCUAGAAAGGAAGAGGGAAUAUUAUUUUUUUAUUCUCACAUCAUAGAUACAAUUCAUUAAAACUAAUAUAAAGUAAAAUGUAGUGUUCAAAAGGGUGAGUUGAUGCUCUUGGGUAUUUUUGUUUCCAGCACCACCUAAGAUUUGGAAUUUGAGUUAUAGAGAAACAAGGACUCUUCCCACUGUCCUUUGUGUGGAGAAGACAGGACUAAGGUGGAUGUGAUUACAGAUAUUUUCUUGGGAGUUCCCCUCUGGCUCAGCAGAUUAAGAACAUGAUUGGUAUCUAUGAGAAUGCAGGUUUGGUCCCUGGCCUAGCUCAGUGGGUUAGGUAUCCAAUGUUGCCAUAAGCUACAGUGUAGGUUGUGGAUGUGGCUCAGAUCCAGUGUUGCUGUGGCUGUGGUGUGGGCCUGCAGCUGCAGCUGCGAUUCAAACUCUAGCCUGGUAAUUUCCAUAUGCCACGCACGAGGCUGAAGAAAGAAAGAAAGAGAGAGAGAGAGAGAGAAAGAAGGAAAGAAAG
rnacentral:lncRNA from 1 species